UAAAUUAACCACAACGAUCUCUCGGAGGUUCAGUCAGCGAGCAACAAUAGAGGGAGCGUCAAGUCCUGCACUCGCUCGACAAGAAAAAAGCAAACAGCAACAAAAAAGGAACUUACUGUGACACACUAUGGCGCGUCGUGGCUCUACGUCUCUUGCAGCGGCCUCGACAGCCGCGCUGCUGGUGCUGGUGCUUAGUUCUACUGUGAAUGGUUUUGUGUUUCAACUUGAGUCUGGCAAAUCACGCUGCUUCUUACAGGAGGUGGCGAGUGGCACCGACUUGCGAAUUGUGUACAAGGCGGAUGACACCUAUGGUGAUUUUCUCGACGUUGUGCUCACCAACGCGAAUGGCAAUACACUCUACAGGGAGUUGGGCAAGAGUAGCGGCGCUUUCCUGGAGCGCAUCACCAACGGUGGUGAGCACUCCCUGUGCUUUACCUCACGUCAAGGAGCGCAGAGCGCGAAAAUGACGCGAAGCCUGUUGCUGGUGAUGCAAUUGGGCGCGGAUGCGAAAGACUACGACACCAUGGCGACGAAGGAGAAGAUGCGGCCGAUGGAGGUGCAGAUGCGCAUGAUGGAGGAUACGGUUCAGGAGGUUCACAACGAGUUCGUCUACUUCCGCGCCCGCGAGGCAGAGAUGCGUAACACGAAUGAGCACAUGACGGCCAAGGUGAUGUGGAUGUCGGUCGGCCUCAUCAUCCUCUUUGGCAUCUUUUGGUAUCUGCAGAUGCGUCACCUAAAGCGCUACUUCAAGAAGAAGCGCAUGAUCGAUUAGGCGAGCCCUCCCUCCCGCCUCCUGUUCCGCGACCGGUUCGGGGGCCGCAAAGAGUGAGAAAAGCCCCGGCGGAGGUGUAUGUAUGCGUAUGUGUGUGUGCUCAUUUUUGAUUCCUUGCACUCUCCUUGAGUCUGGUGUGGCUGCUUUCACCGCCGCCACCUCAAGCAUCUGUGCGUGUGUGUGUGUCUCUCAGCUGCUGACGUUCUCUCUGCGCCGCCCUUUGUCUACCUCGGCUCCUUUCUUUUGUGCUGUUCAGGAGUACCGAGUUAAAGGAGAGGGAAAGGGGAUGAGAGGGGCCAAGGUGAGGUGUGUGCGACUGCCAACCGCAGAGGCAGCGAUGAGCGGCAGCGUGGCAUGUGAUGCACAACCGCAAGGAAAAAACAAAGCGGUUCUUCGGGCAUUUAUUUUCCUUUUCUUUUCCCUUUUCUGUUCUCCUGUGCUUGCUCUGUGUGCAUUGUCCUUGCAAGUUUGUGUACAGCCAGGUGCUGUGUGCGUGUGCGUGCGCUUGUGGGUUGGAGUGCAGGGGUGAGAGGGGGUCGACGCCUCUUGGCGGCUUGUACUCCCCGUCGCCGUUCGCCGAGUCGUGGCUCUCUCUAGCUCCCUUGUUCUCUUGUCGUGUUUUUGUGCCCUUUCCUCGCCUUGUGUUUUUGUGUGGUUCUGACAGCGACUCUUACUCUCUCGAUGCGUGUAACGUAACUCUGCAAGCGUUGGGCAGGCUGUAGGCGGAUGGGGAACUUCGCCGAAUCGGGUCUAUACAUGAAUGCCUGCGCGUGCAUCUCUCUGUGUGUGCGAGCUGGCGUGUGCCCUCUAUAGCAGCUGUG
rnacentral:misc_RNA from 1 species